rnacentral:rRNA from 1 species
GACGAACGCUGGCGGCGUGCUUAACACAUGCGAGUCGAACGGAAAGGCCCUGCUUUUGUGGGGUGCUCGAGUGGCGAACGGGUGAGUAACACGUGAGUAACCUGCCCUUGACUUUGGGAUAACUUCAGGAAACUGGGGCUAAUACCGGAUAGGAGCUCCUGCUGCAUGGGGGGGGUUGGAAAGUUUCGGCGGUUGGGGAUGGACUCGCGGCUUAUCAGCUUGUUGGUGGGGUAGUGGCUUACCAAGGCUUUGACGGGUAGCCGGCCUGGGAGGGUGACCGGCCACAUUGGGACUGGGAUACGGCCCAGACUCCUACGGGAGGCAGCAGUGGGGAAUAUUGCACAAUGGGCGGAAGCCUGAUGCAGCAACGCCGCGUGCGGGAUGACGGCCUUCGGGUUGUAAACCGCUUUCGCCUGUGACGAAGCGUGAGUGACGGUAAUGGGUAAAGAAGCACCGGCUAACUACGUG